GAUGAACGCUGGCGGCGUGCCUAAUACAUGCAAGUCGAGCGAACAGACGAGGAGCUUGCUCCUCUGACGUUAGCGGCGGACGGGUGAGUAACACGUGGAUAACCUACCUAUAAGACUGGGAUAACUUCGGGAAACCGGAGCUAAUACCGGAUAAUAUAUUGAACCGCAUGGUUCAAUAGUGAAAGACGGUUUUGCUGUCACUUAUAGAUGGAUCCGCGCCGCAUUAGCUAGUUGGUAAGGUAACAGCUUACCAAGGCAACGAUGCGUAGCCGACCUGAGAGGGUGAUCGGCCACACUGGAACUGAGACACGGUCCAGACUCCUACGGGAGGCAGCAGUAGGGAAUCUUCCGCAAUGGGCGAAAGCCUGACGGAGCAACGCCGCGUGAGUGAUGAAGGUCUUCGGAUCGUAAAACUCUGUUAUUAGGGAAGAACAAGUGUGUAAGUAACUAUGCACGUCUUGACGGUACCUAAUCAGAAAGCCACGGCUAACUACGUG
rnacentral:rRNA from 1 species